GGAUGCGAUCAUACCAGCACUAAAGCACAGGA
rnacentral:rRNA from 1 species